AAGCCCAAGCACUGAUAUCCAGGUGCCAUCUGCUGAGCUAACAGAAACCAGCUGGUUGCUGGGUUCUACAAAGGGAAGCUUACAGCAAACUGAAAGCAUACUCAUUCUGGUGGUGCCCAAGGCACAGACUCCAUCACCACUGCAAAGAACAAGACCUGAGGAUGUUACAGCCAACACACUGAGGGAGGUGAUCCUGCCCCUCUACUCUGCGCUGGUGAGGCCUCACCUGGAGUAUUGCAUCCAGAUGUGGAGUCCUCAGUACAGGAGAGACAUAGACCUGAGUGUGUCCAGAGGAUGGCAGCAAAAAUGAUCCAAGUGAUGUGACACCUCUCCUACAAGGACAGGCUGUGAGAGCUGGGGCUGCUCCAGGUAGACUUGGUAGCGACCUUUCAGUAUCUAAAGAGGGGCUGAAAGAAAGAAAGGGACAGACUCUUUAGCAGGGUUUUUAGCUUUUGAGAUAGGACAGGCAGAAAUUAUUUCAAACUAAGAGAUUUAGAAGGGAUAUAAGAAAAAAUGUUUUUUAUGAUAGGGUUAGUGAAACAGUGAAAUAGGUUGCCCCAGGAUGUGGUGGAGGAGUGGUCCCUAGAGACACUGAAGGUCAGACUGGAUGGGACUCUGAGCAACCUGAUAUAGCUGUAGAUGUCUGUUUGUUGCAAGGAAGUUAGACUAGAUGACCUUUAAAGGUCCCUUCUAACUCAACUCCUACACUUCCACAUUCAAUUUCCUUCUGCUUAGAAAAUUCUGUUGUUCUAUCAGAUGUCUUUGAAAUAGUCCAAGUCACAUCUGUCAAGCACAUUCUAAGUUUUUGUCUUUGAAUAGUAACACCCAGCAGAUGUGCUUUUAAGUAAGGUAUUAACCAACCUCUGCUCUUAGCUUGAAAAAAGCAUCUUCCAGCUCUGACGCUGCACUGUCCAGAUGAAAAAUCUGAUGCAUGCCUCUAUAAUUGAAAGGAAAAAAAAAAAGCAAUAUGAAGCAACCAAUAUGGUCUUUGUUUAACAAGUCCUCCAGAAAGCAACUUUUGUAAAUAGACCUGACUGAGAAUUCCUCUGAACUGCAGUUUGGAAAUUCUAGCUGCAGGCCACAUCUAUUUUCCUG
ensembl:lncRNA